AUACUUACCUGGCUGGGGAGAUACCAUGGUCACGAAGGUGGUUUUCCCAGGACGAGCCUUAUCCAUUGUACUGUGGAUAUGCUGACCUCUGCGAUUUCCCCAAAUGUGAAACUCAACUAUAUAAUUUGUAGUAGUGGGGGACUUCAUGUGUGCUCUCCCCUG
ensembl:snRNA U1 U1 spliceosomal RNA